GAAAAAUAGACCUCUUAUUUAAUAAGAGCUAACCUUCUAAGGGAAAGGCAUCCUAAAAUACUUGAGUUUUUCAGUCCAUAUUUAAUCCUUCAAAAAUAAUGACAUUGAGCACACAAAUAUUAUUUGCUAUUUUAAGGGUCUUUAUUUAAAAUUUAAUUUAGAAAAAGUCUGUAAGUUCUUUCCCCAAAGAAUUUUGAAAAUUAUUGACAAUCUGGACAGUCUUGUAUGAUAAUACCAUUUAACUGAAAAAAGGACAGUGGGAAAGAGAAUACCGAAUAAAGGGCAUUAUUAUUAAAAUUUAUGAUUAAAAUGAAAGUGUGAUGAAAGUGAAAGUUUCACAGUUGUGUCCUACUCUGCGACCCCAAGGACUAUCCAGUCCAUGGAAUAUUCCAGGCCGGAAUACUGGAAUGGGAAGUGGCAACCCACUCUAGUAUUCUUGCCUAGGGAAUCCCAUGGACAGAGGAGCCUGGCGGGGUACAGUCCAUGGGUUAGCAAAUGAGUCAGACACGACUGAGUAUCUAACAUUCUCACUCACUCUUCAUUUUCACUUUCACUUUCCAGUAGGCAAUUCUAAUAUGAACUGGAAACUACAAACUACUAGCCACUGAGCCCUGGUUUAUAGGGGGAAAUUUGUAUUCAAGAAACCAAUAGACCUUUUGAGUUAAUUCAGACUGUAACCCUGACUAGAGAUUUACAAAAAGUCGAAGAUAACACUAACACAUACUUUCUGGAACAAAGGCAGGGUAUAGUACUAGCUAGGUUCACUUAAAAUGGGACAAUGGAAAUCUGUCUCUACAUCUUUUAACAUCUUAAACCAGCAUUAUGAGUGACUGUAAAUAUAAGUAGUGUUGAGUUUUACUUGAAGUAAAGAAUCUGUUUUUAGAAAACCUCAGUUAAAUAGGGGAGAAGACAAUGGCACCCCACUCCAGUACUCUUGCCUGGAAAAUCCCAUGGGCGGAGGAGCCUGGUAGGCUUCAGUCCAUGGGGUCGCUGAGGGUUGGACACCACUGAACUCCUUCACUUUCACUUUUCACUUUCAUGCUUUGGAGAAGGAAAUGGCAACCCACUCCAGCAUUCUUGCCAGGAGAAUCCCAGGGACAGGGGAGCCUGGUGGGCUGCCGUCUCUGGGGUCGCACAGAAUCGGACGCCACUGAGGUGACUUAGCAACAGCAGUUAAAUAGGUAGAGUUCAGUAUCUUCUCUUUAUACUUUUACCAGUUUUUGCCUCCUCAUUUCCAUCUUCCCUAUUUAAUAGCUUCCCUUCUUAUCUGUGCUCUCUCCUUACGGAGUGAAGACCUCAUUCACUUGUAAUUUCAUUCAGUUUUACCAACUCCUUUGCUCUCUUGUCUUUUCACCACACCAAAC
ensembl:lncRNA